UGGGGAAUUUUGGACAAUGGGCGCAAGCCUGAUCCAGCAAUGCCGCGUGCAGGAUGAAGGCCUUCGGGUUGUAAACUGCUUUUGUACGGARCGAAACGGUCUGCCCUAAUACGGUGGGCUAAUGACGGUACCGUAAGAAUAAGCACCGGCUAACUACGUGCCAGCAGCCGCGGUAAUACGUAGGGUGCGAGCGUUAAUCGGAAUUACUGGGCGUAAAGCGUGCGCAGGCGGUGAUGUAAGACAGAUGUGAAAUCCCCGGGCUCAACCUGGGACCUGCAUUUGUGACUGCAUCGCUAGAGUACGGUAGAGGGGGAUGGAAUUCCGCGUGUAGCAGUGAAAUGCGUAGAUAUGCGGAGGAACACCGAUGGCGAAGGCAAUCCCCUGGACCUGUACUGACGCUCAUGCACGAAAGCGUGGGGAGCAAACAGGAUUAGAUACCCUGGUAGUCCACGCCCUAAACGAUGUCAACUGGUUGUUGGGUCUUCACUGACUCAGUAACGAAGCUAACGCGUGAAGUUGACCGCCUGGGGAAGUACGGCCGCAAGGUUG
rnacentral:rRNA from 1 species